rnacentral:rRNA from 1 species
UCAGGACACCUGGCGGCUGCCUAACACAUUGACAAGUCGAGCGCGAAAUUGGGGGGCACUCCCCGAGUAGAGCGGCGCACGGGUGAGUAACGCGUGGGUAACCAACCUCCGGGCGGGGGAUAACCACUCGAAAGGGAGGCUAAUACCGCAUGAGACCACGGGGUCUUUGGACCCUGGGGCUAAAGGUGGCACCGGCUUGCCGGUGCUGUCACCUGGAGACGGGCCCGCGUACGAUUAGCUUGUUGGUAGGGUAACGGCCUACCAAGGCUGCGAUCGUUAGCUGGUCUGAGAGGAUGACCAGCCACACUGGAACUGGAACACGGUCCAGACUCUUACGGGAGGCAGCAGUGAGGAAUAUUGCGCAAUGGGGGAAACCCUGACGCAGCAACGCCGCGGUGGGUGAAGAAGGCCUUCGGGUCGUAAAGCCCUUUCGGACGGGGCGAAAGUUCCGCGGGGAUAAUCCGCGGAGCCUGACGGUACCGUAGGAAGAAGCACCGGCUAACUCCGUGCCAGCAGCCGCGGUAAUACGGAGGGUGUCAAGUCGUUGUUUCGGAACUACUGGGUCGUAAAGUCUCGUGUAGGCGGUCCUGUAAGUCAGAUGUGAAAUCCCUGGCUAACCGGGGAAGAGCAUCGAAACGGCAGACUUGAGUACGGGAGAGGGAGGCGGAAUUCCCAGUUGUUAGAGGUGAAAUUCGUAGAUAUUGGGAGGAACACCGGUGGCGAAAGCGGCCUCCCGGACCGAUACUGACGUCUAAGACUCGAAAUCGUGGGGAGCAAACAGGAUUAGAUACCCUGGUAGUUCCACGUGGUAAACGAUGGGUCACUAGGUGUGGGGGGUAUCCACUCCUCCCGUUGUCCGUCAGUCUAACGUCAUUAAGUGUCCCCGUCCUGGGGAGUACGGCCGUCAAGGUCUAAAACUCAAAGGAAUUGACGGGGGUCCCGUCACAAGCGGUGGAGUCAUGUGGUUUUAAUUCGACGCAACGCGAAGAACCUUACCUGGGUCUGACAUCCCCGGAACCCCCGGAAACAGGGGUGUUGUCCCCGCUAAGGGUGAC